rnacentral:lncRNA from 1 species
ACAGUUAUUGAAGCCUUGUCCAUUUAAUACAGUGCCGUCUGAGCUUUUAACUUCUGCACCUGGAUGGAGGCAAUAAACCUGAUCAUCACAUUGUAGGUUGCAAGAGUUCAAUACAUCAAUUAUUGAAGCCUUGUCCAUUUAAUACAGUGCCGUCUGAGCUUUUAACUUCUGCACCUGGAUGGAGGCAAUAAACCUGAUCAUCACAUUGUAGGUUGCAAGAGUUCACCACAUAUGAUCCAGGAAUAUUAGGAUUAACUACGUUCUGAUAUACAUUGCCACUCUUCAUCGGCUUCUGGUAUGGAAAUGAUCCAAUUUCCCCUUCAAUCCUUCCUCUGAUGUCGACAAGCAAGCACUUGAGCC